UAGCUACAGGCUUAACACAUGCAAGUCGAGGGGCAGCAUGGUCUUAGCUUGCUAAGGCCGAUGGCGACCGGCGCACGGGUGAGUAACACGUAUCCAACCUGCCGUCUACUCUUGGACAGCCUUCUGAAAGGAAGAUUAAUACAAGAUGGCAUCAUGAGUCCGCAUGUUCACAUGAUUAAAGGUAUUCCGGUAGACGAUGGGGAUGCGUUCCAUUAGAUAGUAGGCGGGGUAACGGCCCACCUAGUCUUCGAUGGAUAGGGGUUCUGAGAGGAAGGUCCCCCACAUUGGAACUGAGACACGGUCCAAACUCCUACGGGAGGCAGCAGUGAGGAAUAUUGGUCAAUGGGCGAGAGCCUGAACCAGCCAAGUAGCGUGAAGGAUGACUGCCCUAUGGGUUGUAAACUUCUUUUAUAAAGGAAUAAAGUCGGGUAUGGAUACCCGUUUGCAUGUACUUUAUGAAUAAGGAUCGGCUAACUCCGUGCCAGCAGCCGCGGUAAUACGGAGGAUCCGAGCGUUAUCCGGAUUUAUUGGGUUUAAAGGGAGCGUAGAUGGAUGUUUAAGUCAGUUGUGAAAGUUUGCGGCUCAACCGUAAAAUUGCAGUUGAUACUGGAUAUCUUGAGUGCAGUUGAGGCAGGCGGAAUUCGUGGUGUAGCGGUGAAAUGCUUAGAUAUCACGAAGAACUCCGAUUGCGAAGGCAGCCUGCUAAGCUGCAACUGACAUUGAGGCUCGAAAGUGUGGGUAUCAAACAGGAUUAGAUACCCUGGUAGUCCACACGGUAAACGAUGAAUACUCGCUGUUUGCGAUAUACUGCAAGCGGCCAAGCGAAAGCGUUAAGUAUUCCACCUGGGGAGUACGCCGGCAACGGUGAAACUCAAAGGAAUUGACGGGGGCCCGCACAAGCGGAGGAACAUGUGGUUUAAUUCGAUGAUACGCGAGGAACCUUACCCGGGCUUAAAUUGCAGAUGAAUUACGGUGAAAGCCGUAAGCCGCAAGGCAUCUGUGAAGGUGCUGCAUGGUUGUCGUCAGCUCGUGCCGUGAGGUGUCGGCUUAAGUGCCAUAACGAGCGCAACCCUUGUUGUCAGUUACUAACAGGUUCCGCUGAGGACUCUGACAAGACUGCCAUCGUAAGAUGUGAGGAAGGUGGGGAUGACGUCAAAUCAGCACGGCCCUUACGUCCGGGGCUACACACGUGUUACAAUGGGGGGUACAGAGGGCCGCUACCACGCGAGUGGAUGCCAAUCCCCAAAACCUCUCUCAGUUCGGACUGGAGUCUGCAACCCGACUCCACGAAGCUGGAUUCGCUAGUAAUCGCGCAUCAGCCACGGCGCGGUGAAUACGUUCCCGGGCCUUGUACACACCGCCCGUCAAGCCAUGGGAGCCGGGGGUACCUGAAGUGCGUAACCGCGAGGAGCGCCCUAGGGUAAAACUGGUGACUGGGGCUAAGUCGUA
rnacentral:rRNA from 1 species